UAAAAGGCCCCUAAGCUGUUGUUUGUGAACCAUAUUGAAAUUCGUGAGAGCUUGAAAAUGUCUCCCAAAUACAUGCUAGUGUUGUUGAUAGCAUUGGUUUUGGCAGUCUCGUCCCUUUCCCAUGGUCCAGUACACGGUUCAGUACACCCAAGGCCUCAUCCUCCUCCAAAAAUUACUCGAUACUCCGCGCCACAUAUACAUAAACCAAAACCACCAAACGUGGCAACAACAAACACCUAUGCAGCAAAGAAGCCUCCAACUAAAGGUUGAACUGUUAGGCUAUGAUCAAAGGUUUUGCAACGUCAAGGGAGUAUAUUACAACAGUAAUCGCAAUUUGAAACCUUGACUAGAGAUACUUUAAUGGCAUAUAGUAUUAAUUAAUGGUCAGUGCUAUGAGUAUGCAUGUAUGAUUAAAUAAUAGUUAGUUAGGAGUUUGUUUGAACUGUUGUAAUACCUUGUUAUGAGAGUCUCCAUCUGUGUGUUUUGAUUUCCACUUAUAUGCAUAGUUUGAUGUGUUCACGAUGUGCUCUCUCUUUUGUUUAUGUUUGUACAACAUUCUAAAGGCCACAAGAUAAGACAUGAGAGUUAAAUUGUUAAAUAAAAUUAAACAAGAUCGUGAUAAGAUAAUAAUAUGAUAAAUUCUUAAACUAUUCAACUUUAGAUACUAGAAUUUAGGUUUAAUUUGGGUCGAACCUAGCUUCAUAAAACUGGCUUAAAACUAUUAAGAACAUAUUAGAAUUUUUAAUAUCCGUCUCUAACAUAUUAGGAUAUUUAAUUUCCUAUAAUUGAUAACCAGAGACGGACUUAGAGACGGAUUUGUGACAUCAUCUGAAUGAAUUUUUUGGUUUCUAGCUUCCGUCUCUGAAAACGUUAGAUAAGGACAGACACGGAAAUAUAGAUGUUUUGUUUCCAUCUCUAAGUUCCGUCUUUAUAUCAAACUUUUCUAGUUGUUAACCCAUACCAAUAAUCUUUUUUGAAUUUCUUCAUGAGAAAGACUCGUGUGUUUUUUUUGCUUUAUCAAUUCUAUUUUCUAAAUUCCCAAAACAAGUCUUGUUCAACCACUUCAAAUUUUGUUUGAGAAUUUUAAGUUUUUCUUUGAGCACAUGUACUCUAGCUUGAAAUCUGCAACUUUUUCUAUUUAGUUUCCAUAACCUUUACAAAAACUUUACUUAUAAAAACUAUAUAUUAGUAAUCUUGAAUCUAAGAGACUUAAAGUUUGUUUCUUAAUAAUUUCUUAUCAUUGAAAUUUUUACGUAUAAAGGACCUAACUAUUGAGGGACCAAAAACCAGAUUCCAUAUAAGUUACAGCAUUUUUUGUGAGGGGUCGAUAUAAGUCACCCAAUUAACAUCGUGCAAAAAGACGCUAAUAGAAGGGUUAUAUGUCGUUUCCAUAAGUUAGAAACACAUUUUUAUUAGAAAAUUUCUGACAAUAAAUGUUAUAUGUUGUUUAUGGUACAUUUUACAGAGAGGAGUGUCCUAGGGGACAGGGAAAAAAGGUGGAACCAUGAAAAUUCAUUUUCACGCCCAAAUUAAUUAUCCAAGCACAAGUUAGUAUUAUUCAAAUUCCAAAAUAAUUAAUUGCAAUAGCUAUUAACAGUACACCAACAUGAAGCUGACAAAUUGGUUUUGAGGAUGCACCCUGAACUUAUUGCAUGUCUUCCUAUUGCGGCAUGGUAAUGAAAACUGGGCGCGGUUGAUAGAUAAGAACAAAGAAGUUAUUGGAAGGGCUGAUACGUGUUAUGGUUACAACACAGAUGGAGGAAAUACCCACAUGCAUGCAGGCAUCCUGGUUAUGCAUUUGAACUCAAGGAAGGUUACGUCAAUUUAAACCUCGAAAACAAUCGAGUUAUGACCCAUUCUUGGAUGGGAAUUCAAUGAAAGGUGUUGAUUUUGCACGUGGGGGGAUGAGUUUUACUUGGUAAACAACACCCAUCACAAACGUAACCUCCACUCUGAUUUCACCACUUCCAUGUUUGAUUUAUUAAAUAAGUGUUUGUACUUUAGUAUCCAUGUAUUUUUAUAAUGUUUAACUUAAUUUGUCACAUAAUAAGUAAAAGCUAUAGAUAUGCAAUUAGGAACUUUUAAAACCAAAUCAAAACAGUUUGUAAAUCGUAAAAUCCAUUAAAAAAAUAAAAAAUCAUAAAAAUAUAAAAUAUAAAAAAAAAUCGUAUCUUUUUUUUGGUUUGGUUAGUUUUUUAAUUUUGUUAAAAAAAAUAAACUAAAUCGGACAAAUCCACGAUAAAUAUUGAAUAAUCUUUUCAUUUGUUUUAUAAUUAAGAUAUAUAGAAAAUAGUAAUUUUUAACUUAAAAAUGUUAAAAAUAAAUAAAAUUUAUUUUAAAAGUAAUAUAAGAUAAUAAUGAUAUAACUUUAAUUGAAAAACUUUAAUUUAUGAUAAUGAAUUAAAAAAUAAAAAAACUGUAAAACCAAAUUAAAUCAAAUGAUAAAAAAUUAAUUUGAUUUGAUUUAGAUUUAAUAUAAUAUUUAAAUUGAAUCACAUUUUUAUUUUAUAUUUAAUUUAGAUGACUAUUUAUUUAAAAAAAAAAAACAAACAAACAAACAAAUUAAACCAUCCGACAAAGACUCACAUUUACAUAACCGCUUACCUGUAAAUGCCGUAUGCAAAUGCAGGGAUCCGUGGAUGUGGAUAAUUAUUGCAGCGAUAGGCGCUGUCAGCAUGAUAUGUGCUUUGGUUCUAUUUCUGGCCUUGAAGAAAAAGAAAACAUUUGUUUGAAGGCUAGCUGUGUCUUUGUAAUAAGCCUUGUUCUAGAGAAAGUCUUGCCUAGGCACUAGGCUCAAAUUGACGUGGUAGUCACAGCCAAUAAAAGGUUAUUGGUUGAUAAAUUAAAAUAAAGUAACAAAAGCUGCAUUUUUUUUCACUCUGGAAUUUGAUAUGCUUCCUUCUCCCUCUCUUCUGGGUUACUGAGCAAGGGUGAGGGACUGCAAAUUGACUAAACACGAAUUGGUGGGCUUCCCAUGCGGCAUAUGCUACACAUUUUGUAUGGAAUUUUCAAGAAGGGGUAUGUUGUUGAUGUCCCAACAUCACCAUUGGCAAGGACUUCAUAUCAGUACCAUUGAGAUUUUUCAUGGCAUACUUAUAUUUAUAACAUUUUCAUCAAGAAAGCCCCCAAUCCUAGCUCUACCAAAACCAAAGGACACAAAUUUCUAUUCUAACACUAUGAUAUGACAACAUUUUUGUAUUACCUUCUAUACUACUCAUUCCCUCUUCACAAAUCAUCUUGGCAAAAUGAACCAACAAAAAGAAAUUCAUUUAAAAACAGUUUAGGAAGACCAAAUUGUUCAGUAUGUCCAGAAAAGGAAUGAAAAAUUUCAGAUCAGGUGAAGAUCCACACCAAGGGAAAUCGCUGGUAGUAAUCCGCGUGAAACUUGAAAAGGGUUAGGGAGAAGAAAAGCAAUCCAGAGAUAAGAAGUGCAGCUUUUGUUAUUUUAUGUUAAUUUAUUAAUUAAUGAUAAUUUUUAAAGUAUUUUAAUACGCUGGCAAACUUUCAUUGGCUGUGCUACCUCGUAAGUUUUAGGACAGUGUAUAGGCAAGACUUUCUCUGUUGAGCUCACAAUUUUAUUAGAUGGAACUUAAUUUUUAUUUCUAGGCCAAUUUACUUAUUCUUUAUUUAAAAGUAAUAAAGAUAGUCUAUUCAAAUUAUUCAAAUAUUGUUGGUUAUGAUUUAAUAUUUUAAUG
rnacentral:lncRNA from 1 species